ACUUCGGUCCCGAGUAGAGCGGCGAACGGGUGAGUAACACGUGGGCAACCUGCCUCAAGGACUGGGAUAACUCCGUGAAAACGGGGCUAAUACCGGGCGAUGUCGUCGAGCGCAAGCUCGCCGACCAAAUGGUAGCUUCGGCCUCCGCCUUGAGAUGGGCCCGCGUCCUAUCAGCUAGUUGGUGAGGUAACGGCUCACCAAGGCUUCGACGGGUAGCUGGUCUGAGAGGAUGAUCAGCCACACUGGGACUGAGAUACGGCCCAGACUCCUACGGGAGGCAGCAGUGGGGAAUUUUGCGCAAUGGGCGAAAGCCUGACGCAGCAACGCCGCGUGAGCGAAGAAGGCCUUCGGGUUGUAAAGCUCUGUCAGGGGGAAAAAAGGCACCUGGGUUAAUAGCCCAAGGGCUGAUGGUACCCCCAAAGGAAGCCACGGCUAACUACGUGCCAGCAGCCGCGGUAAUACGUAGGUGGCGAGCGUUGUCCGGAAUCAUUGGGCGUAAAGAGCGCGUAGGUGGUUUGUUAGGUCUGAUGUGAAAUCCUGGGGCUCAACUCCAGAACUGCAUCGGAAACCGGCUUACUAGAGUCUGGGAGAGGAGAGUGGAAUUCCUGGUGUAGCGGUGAAAUGCGUAGAUAUCAGGAGGAACACCGGUAGCGAAGGCGGCUCUCUGGAACAGUACUGACGCUGAGGCGCGAAAGCUAGGGGAGCGAACAGGAUUAGAUACCCUGGUAGUCCUAGCCGUAGACGAUGGACACUACGUGUCGGGGGUGUCGACU
rnacentral:rRNA from 1 species